rnacentral:rRNA from 1 species
UACGGAGGGUGCAAGCGUUAUCCGGAUUCACUGGGUUUAAAGGGUGCGUAGGCGGAUUAUUAAGUCAGUGGUGAAAGCCCCAAGCUCAACUUGGGAACUGCCAUUGAUACUGAUGAUCUUGAGUACAUUUGAGGUGGGCGGAAUGUGUCAUGUAGCGGUGAAAUGCUUAGAUAUGACACAGAACACCGAUUGCGAAGGCAGCUCACUAAACUGUAACUGACGCUGAGGCACGAAAGCGUGGGGAGCAAACAGG